ACGGGAGGCAGCAGUAGGGAAUCUUCGGCAAUGGACGAAAGUCUGACCGAGCAACGCCGCGUGAGUGAAGAAGGUUUUCGGAUCGUAAAACUCUGUUGUUAGAGAAGAACAAGGAUGAGAGUAACUGUUCAUCCCUUGACGGUAUCUAACCAGAAAGCCACGGCUAACUACGUGCCAGCAGCCGCGGUAAUACGUAGGUGGCAAGCGUUGUCCGGAUUUAUUGGGCGUAAAGCGAGCGCAGGCGGUUUCUUAAGUCUGAUGUGAAAGCCCCCGGCUCAACCGGGGAGGGUCAUUGGAAACUGGGAGACUUGAGUGCAGAAGAGGAGAGUGGAAUUCCAUGUGUAGCGGUGAAAUGCGUAGAUAUAUGGAGGAACACCAGUGGCGAAGGCGGCUCUCUGGUCUGUAACUGACGCUGAGGCUCGAAAGCGUGGGGAGCAAACAGGAUUAGAUACCCUGGUA
rnacentral:rRNA from 2 species